AGAGUUUGAUCCUGGCUCAGGAUGAACGCUGGCGGUAUGCGUAACACAUGCAAGUCGAACGAAGUUUUUCGGAACUUAGUGGCGGACGGGUGAGUAACGCGUGAGAAUCUGCCUUAAGGAUUGGGACAACAGUGGGAAACCGCUGCUAAUACCAAAUAUGCCUUUUAGUGAAACGGGUAAAACCGCCUUAAGAUGAGCUCGCGUCUGAUUAGCUAGUUGGUGUGGUAAGAGCGCACCAAGGCAACGAUCAGUAGCUGGUCUGAGAGGACGACCAGCCACACUGGGACUGAGACACGGCCCAGACUCCUACGGGAGGCAGCAGUGAGGAAUUUUCCGCAAUGGGCGAAAGCCUGACGGAGCAAUACCGCGUGAGGGAGGAAGGUUCUUGGAUUGUAAACCUCUUUUCUCAGAGAAGAAUAAUGACGGUAUCUGAGGAAUAAGCAUCGGCUAACUCCGUGCCAGCAGCCGCGGUAAUACGGAGGAUGCAAGCGUUAUCCGGAAUGAUUGGGCGUAAAGGGUCUGUAGGUGGUUGUUCAAGUCUGCUGUUAAAGCGUCUGGCUUAACCAGAUAAAGGCGGUGGAAACUGAACGACUAGAGUGCGGUAGGGGUAGAGGGAAUUCCCAGUGUAGCGGUGAAAUGCGUAGAUCUUGGGAAGAACACCUGUGGCGAAAGCGCUCUACUGGACCGCGACUGACACUGAUGGACGAAAGCUAGGGGAGCGAAUGGGAUUAGAUACCCUAGUAGUCC
rnacentral:rRNA from 1 species